rnacentral:tRNA from 1 species
CCGAAAAUGUUGGUUUAAAUCCCUCCUCUACUA